CCCAUAGUAACGGCGAGCGAACUGGGAAGAGCUCAGCACUGAACCCUCUGUCCUCUGGGCAGUAGGGAAUGUGGUGUUUGGGAGGUUCAAUUCCUGUCAGAGGUUGGCAUGCCCAAGUCCGUUGGAAUACGGCUUCGCUCCCAUAGAGGGUAAGAGGCCCGUAUGGCAGUCGGCUCUCUGCAGGUUGGAUUUUCCCUAGAGUCGAGUUGCUUGUGAGUGCAGCUCUAAGCAGGUGGUAAACUCCAUCUAAAGCUAAAUACGACUACGAGACCGAUAGUGAACAAGUACCGUGAGGGAAA
rnacentral:rRNA from 1 species